GCGAGCUCUCUGCGCGCUCCGCUCCCCGCCGGUGCUGUCCGCUGCCGAGGCGCUGUGUGCGACCUCGGCGGGCAGGGGGCAGGAAGAGCCCGGAUUUCUUUUUUAGCUGAGUGUAACCUGGGCGCGCACAUCCGUGUGCUCUUUUGCAUUCGCCAGUGGUUUGCACUUGCUUGGAGGAGCGCUCAAGGCACUCUCGCCCUGCUUCAAGGAACGCGUUAUGAAGAGGAGACCAGCAAGGCGGCGCGGCGGGGUGAGGAGGGGUCCCGGAUCAUGGAAGCAUGCUCAUAUUCUGGCAGGCAUAUGCCCAGAACUUCGUUCGCAGCAUACAUGGAGAAGGAACUUCCUGAUUUUUGUAGUUGUUGCCUGUUAAAUCCCAAGAUGGACUCUCGUGGACGAAGUCUAUCAUUCCGUGAUUCCAUUCUCCAUGAGACUUCAUCUUGGUCUGAAUGGGGAGUGACGGAAGCUAGUCUUUGGGACAGAGCAUGGUUUUGGUAAUUUGGUAAGAUGAAUUUCUGUUAGUAGAUGGUUAAUAAAUAUGAGCAGAACACCUAUGAAAUCAAUAUAUAAUUCUUUAAUAAUGCUA